rnacentral:rRNA from 1 species
UUGGAGGGCAAGUCUGGUGCCAGCGGCCGCGGUAAUUCCAGCUCCAAUAGCGUAUAUUAAAGUUGUUGCAGUUAAAAAGCUCGUAGUUGAAUUUCGGAAUCUGUCCGUCGGUCGGGCUUCACUGUCCGUACUGGUGUGAUGGGUUUCUACCUUCUGAAUAACCGGCAUGUCAUUAAUUUGGUGCGCCGGGGAGGCAGAACUAUUACCUUGAAAAAAUUAGAGUGCUUAAAGCAGGCUAUCGCCUGAAUAGAUUAGCAUGGAAUAAUAAAAUAGGACGGCAUGGUUCUAUUUUGUUGGUUUCUAGGAUCACCGUAAUGAUUAAUAGGGAUAGUUGGGGGCAUUAGUAUUCAAUUGUCAGAGGUGAAAUUCUUGGAUUUAUUGAAGACUAACUUCUGCGAAAGCAUUUGCCAAGGAUGUUUUCAUUAAUCAAAGAACGAAAAGUUAAGGGGUAGUACGUAGGACGGAACGUACUACGAAGUAACGUUACCGGUUACGGUUACGUUAACCUUAAACCUAAAACUUAAAACUUAGUACCGGACCCGUAACGGUAAGGGUACGGUACCGGGAACGUAGUUUAAGUUUUUAAAUUUUUAAGUUACG